CCUACGGGUGGCUGCAGUGGGGAAUAUUGGGCAAUGGACGCAAGCCUGACCCAGCAACGCCGCGUGAAGGAAGAAGGCUUUCGGGUUGUAAACUUCUUUUGUCAGGGAAGAGUAGAAGACGGUACCUGACGAAUAAGCCACGGCUAACUACGUGCCAGCAGCCGCGGUAAUACGUAGGUGGCAAGCGUUGUCCGGAUUUACUGGGUGUAAAGGGCGUGUAGACGGCGCUGCAAGUCCGGAGUGAAAGCCCAUGGCUUAACCAUGGUACUGCGGUGGAAACUGUGGAGCUUGAGUGCGGGAGGGGCAGGCGGAAUGCCGAGUGUAGCGGUGAAAUGCGUAGAUAUUAGGAGGAACACCGGCGGCGAAGGCGGACUGCUGGACCGUAACUGACGUUGAGGCGCGAAAGCGUGGGGAGCAAACAGGAUUAGAUACCCUAGUAGUC
rnacentral:rRNA from 1 species